GACGAACGCUGGCGGCGUGCUUAACACAUGCAAGUCGAACGGAAAGGCCCUGCUUUUGUGGGGUGCUCGAGUGGCGAACGUGUGAGUAACACGUGAGUAGCCUGCCCUUGACUUUGGGAUAACUUCAGGAAACUGGGGCUAAUACCGGAUAGGAGCUCCUGCUGCAUGGUGGGGGUUGGAAAGUUUCGGCGGUUGGGGAUGGACUCGCGGCUUAUCAGCUUGUUGGUGGGGUAGUGGCUUACCAAGGCUUUGACGGGUAGCCGGCCUGAGAGGGUGACCGGCCACAUUGGGACUGAGAUACGGCCCAGACUCCUACGGGAGGCAGCAGUGGGGAAUAUUGCACAAUGGGCGGAAGCCUGAUGCAGCAACGCCGCGUGCGGGAUGACGGCCUUCGGGUUGUAAACCGCUUUCGCCUGUGACGAAGCGUGAGUGACGGUAAUGGGUAAAGAAGCACCGGCUAACUACGUG
rnacentral:rRNA from 1 species